GACGAACGCUGGCGGCGUGCUUAACACAUGCAAGUCGAACGAAGUGGCGAACGGGUGAGUAAUACGUGGGUAACCUGCCCUCCUUUUUGGGAUAAGCCUUGGAAACGGGGUCUAAUACCGAAUAAAGGGGGAGGGGCUCGCGGCCUAUCAGCUUGUUGGUGGGGUGAUGGCCUACCAAGGCGGUGACGGGUAGCCGGCCUGAGAGGGUGACCGGCCACAUGGGGACUGAGAUACGGCCCAGGCUCCGACGGGAGGCAGCAGUGGGGGAUGUUGCACAAUGGGUGAAGGCCUGAUCCAGCGCCGCCGCGUGGGGGAGGAAGGCUUUCGGGUUGUAAACUUCUUUCGCUAGCGACAGGGGAGGUGGAGAGGAAGCGCCGGCUAACUACGGGCCAGCAGCCGCGGUAAUAC
rnacentral:rRNA from 1 species